CUCGUAGGUGGUCUGUUACGUCUGCUGUGAAAACCUAGGGCUUAACCCUGGGCCUGCAGUGGAUACGGGCAGACUAGAGGUAGGUAGGGGAGAAUGGAAUUCCCGGUGUAGCGGUGAAAUGCGCAGAUAUCGGGAGGAACACCGGUGGCGAAGGCGGUUCUCUGGGCCUUACCUGACACUGAGGAGCGAAAGCGUGGGGAGCGAACAGGAUUAGAUACCCUGGUAGUCCACGCCGUAAACGUUGGGCGCUAGGUGUGGGGUCCUUCCACGGAUUCCGUGCCGCAGCUAACGCAUUAAGCGCCCCGCCUGGGGAGUACGGCCGCAAGGCUAAA
rnacentral:rRNA from 1 species